AACAUAAUAUUUUUCAUCACACUUGCUCAGUAAAUGUGGAAUUGCACGCAGGUUUAGCGGGAGUUAUAGAAAAAGCGUUUUCCUUAGGGAGUUAUGAAGUUUCUAGUGCCAUAAUUAACAGUUUUUUUUCUUAAAACUUAAUUUUCGUAUCGCAAGUGUGAUGAAAAACAUUGUGUUUUACUCGGGGCGUAAUAAUAUUGCAAACUCGAGUCUAUAAAUCGCUCCGGCAAGCCGUCGCGAUUUAACUAUACUCUCGUUUGCAAUAUUUAACUUACGCCCAAUGUUGCACAAUGUACUAAUUAUUUUGUUGCGCUCAUUAUUUGACAGUUGCCCUCAACGUUGCGAACGCUAAGCAGCGCUGCCAUCGUUCACGGUCCCAAUAAUUAUGUGUAUCUAAAUGUAGGUAAUUAUAUAAAUUGGUAUUUCAUGUCUGAUAGCAAUCUUAAUUUUACAGAAUGAUUUAGUCGACGUGGUAAUCGAAGAGACAGAGGAGGACAGUCCAUCAAUAUUACAAUUAUUUCCCAAUAACUGGAAUCAACCGGGAACCUCGGCUCAAUCCACGUAUCUUCCAGGUCUUCUUGUGGCUAGUGAAGCGAACCAGACCCUCCACGGACAGGAAGAUGGACUACAUAUGAAUAGUGACAGAACUCUGACAAUUUCUAGUGCUGGUGCCAGUCAGUGUGUGCUGCAGACCCUGAAUGGACUGGAUAGCUUUGGCAGGAUCGCAGAGCUCAGAACUCAGUCGGUUGCCGGUGCUAAUACUAUCCGUGAUGGUGGCAAG